GACGAACGCUGGCGGCGUGCUUAACACAUGCAAGUCGAACGGAAAGGCCCUGCUUUUGUGGGGUGCUCGAGUGGCGAACGGGUGAGUAACACGUGAGUAACCUGCCCUUGACUUUGGGAUAACUUCAGGAAACUGGGGCUAAUACCGGAUAGGAGCUCCUGCUGCAUGGUGGGGGUUGGAAAGUUUCGGCGGUUGGGGUUGGACUCGCGGCUUAUCAGCUUGUUGGUGGGGUAGUGGCUUACCAAGGCUUUGACGGGUAGCCGGCAUGAGAGGGUGACCGGCCACAUUGGGACUGAGAUACGGCCCAGACUGCUACGGGAGGCAGCAGUGGGGAAUAUUGCACAAUGGGCGGAAGCCUGAUGCAGCAACGCCGCGUGCGGGAUGACGGCCUUCGGGUUGUAAACCGCUUUCGCCUGUGACGAAGCGUGAGUGACGGUAAUGGGUAAAGAAGCACCGGCUAACUACGUG
rnacentral:rRNA from 1 species